GACGAACGCUGGCGGCGUGCUUAACACAUGCAAGUCGAACGGUGAAGGUGGAGCUUGCUCCGCCGGAUCAGUGGCGAACGGGUGAGUAACACGUGGGCAACCUGCCCCUCACUUCGGGAUAAAUCCGGGAAACCGGGGCUAAUACCGAAUACGACCUCCUUGGGCAUCCCGGGAGGUGGAAAGUUUUUCGGUGAGGGAUGGGCCCGCGGCCUAUCAGCUUGUUGGUGAGGUAACGGCUCACCAAGGCGACGACGGGUAGCCGGCCUGAGAGGGCGACCGGCCACACUGGGACUGAGACACGGCCCAGACUCCUACGGGAGGCAGCAGUGGGGAAUAUUGCGCAAUGGGCGAAAGCCUGACGCAGCAACGCCGCGUGCGGGAUGAAGGCCUUCGGGUUGUAAACCGCUUUCAGCAGGGAAGAAGCCGCAAGGUGACGGUACCUGCAGAAGAAGCACCGGCUAACUACGUGCCAGCCGCCGCCGUAA
rnacentral:rRNA from 1 species